UGGGAUCUGCUUCUGGGAAGCAUCUGGACUAGCAGCUCUCCCUCCCUGAUGGAUGCUCCUGAAGUGCUGGGAUGUGCUCAGGUGAAGCUAGGCCCACACAAGCAGACCCAGGCUGGCACUGCCAGCACCUGCAGCAGACACCCUCGCAGGAAGGUGAUGCUGAGGGAGGUGGCUGUGACCGCAAAGAGUCGGCUGCAGCCAGGCCAGGUGGCCUCCCUCUGCAGGCUCACAGGUCUGAACAGGUCAUGUUCUGCAGACUCAGAUGUUGUUUCACCACUCUCCUCCAGCACCUCUCCAGCUGAUCCUCUCCACGCUGUGCCUGUAAUGGGCUGCAGCAGUCCAGCUGAGCGAGCACCACUCCAGAGCCAGCAAAGAGCUGACUUUUCUGCCCCUCCCAGGCCUCACUGCUGUUUGUGUAUCCCAGCAUGGUUUGCCUUUUUCUCAGCAGCGUGACAUUGGCUGACUCUUGUUCAGCUUAAUGGUAACUCUGUCCCCUUUAUACAGGUAUUGACCCAGUUGUCGCCGCUCUGUGUUUAUUUUCUUGCCUGUCCCUGCUCAUCUCUGCUGUGCUGAAUUUCAAGCCUGUCCUCAGGUGUGGUUUGAGUCACUCUGAAUACAGCCAUUGACUCAUGACCCCUGUGCUGGAUUUGAGAGGGAAGUGUCUGCUCUUCAUGUGGAAAUGAGUCAGCCCAUCCUGUGCCUGCAGUGAGCCAAAGAGACCUGAGCCAGGGGAACAUGAAAUGGGCUUUAAUCUGAUCACAAAUCUCGCCUGUAGCC